GACACUGAUGACAGUGGGGUGGGGAUUCCUGGUUUCAACAGUACUGCAACCACCGUGAUCCUCACAGCCUCUGACACCCAUGAACACACCAGUGAUGA